rnacentral:misc_RNA from 1 species
GUUCACAUAUGAAGGAGAGGCCAUUGAAGGAUGGCUUGAAAGUGGUCAUGAUACUUCUCCAAUGACCAAUUUGAAACUAAGCCAUUUGGAGCUAACUCCCAACCAUGCCCUACGACUUGCUAUCAAGGAUUGGCUCUGCAACUUAUAAAUCCUGAUAUAGUAGUAACAAUAGUGUAAAUCGAUAUAUAUGUAUUUGUGGAGCCUAGGAUACAAAAAGGUAACCUAAGAGCUAGUGUUACACAUACAAGUAAAAUAGCCCCAUCUCAUAGAUCUCUAAUACACCAAAAUGGUAAAGACUCU